rnacentral:rRNA from 1 species
AGAGUUUGAUCCUGGCUCAGGAUGAACGCUGGCGGCGUGCUUAACACAUGCAAGUCGAACGGGUGAGAGCGGAAACCUAGUGAAGCUCUCACGAGUGGCGGACGGGUGAGUAACGCGUGGGCAACCUGCCGUAUACAGGGGGCUAACACUUAGAAAUAGGUGCUAAAACCGCAUAAGCGCACAAAGGCCGCAUGGCCCAGUGCGAAAAACUCCGGUGGUAUACGAUGGACCCGCGUCCGAUUAGCUAGUUGGCGGGAUAAGAGCCCACCAAGGCGACGAUCGGUAGCCGGCCUGAGAGGGUGACCGGCCACAUUGGGACUGAGACACGGCCCAAACUCCUACGGGAGGCAGCAGUGGGGAAUAUUGCACAAUGGGGGAAACCCUGAUGCAGCGACGCCGCGUGAGUGAAGAAGUAUUUCGGUAUGUAAAGCUCUAUCAGCAGGGAAGAAAAAAGAGUUAAAACUCUUGGACGGUACCUGAGUAAGAAGCCCCGGCUAACUACGUG